AUGGGCUGGCGGGCGGUCGCGUCGCGGUGUUUCGACACACGCGCCGAGGAACGUCCGGGCUGCACAGAGCAGAACGGUGGGUAACACCCACCCGGGGUGACCCGCGAGAAAGUGCAACAGAAAGUAGACCUGCCUGCUGGCGCUGUCAGUCGGUAAGGGUGAAAGGGUGGUGUAAGAGACCACCAGCGUUCGUGGUGACACGAGCGGCUAGGCAAACCUCGUUCGCAGCAAGGCCAGACAGAAGACGUUGACGCUGCUCGCUGAGUCUUCGGGUAGGCCGCUAGAGCCCGUCGGUAACGGCGGGCCGAGAGAGAUGACCGCACAGACUGGUUCGCCAGUUGGACAGGACCCGGCGUACAGCUAGCCCAUUCCC
rnacentral:RNase_P_RNA from 1 species